rnacentral:misc_RNA from 1 species
ACGGCUGGUGCACAGAGCGCAUUGAUCACCGUCGGCCGCUUCUUCUGGCGUGCAUGUUUGUGUCUUCCUGAGGGGUCGUGCCGCCUGGACUCACAGAUUUUUUUAAUAUAUUGUUUUUAUUUUUUGAUAGUCUCUGUCGUUUUGUUUCCUCGCCUUCUCGGGCUCAAUGUCCGAUUCGGAGGCGCCGUGUCAGGACGGGCUAGCUGCUGCCACGUGCAAGAAACCACCGCAGCGUGCCUGGGUGGACGACGAGGAUGUACCAGUGGAGCAGGAGACGCCGGCGUUCUUCAAGGAGAGUCACGUCAAACCGGCGUGGGCACUUAGCGACACGACACGCGCAGACAAGGACCAGCCCGACUCUCACGAAAUCGCCGUUCCGGGCUACCGGCGCUCCGCGGAGGCGCUGGCUCGCAAACGCUUCCGCAGCGACGAUCUCGACACCUUGCUGUCGCGCAAAGAGCCACUCCUGUCGUCAAAACACGACCGACCUCACAGUGCUGUGCCGGCAGUGCUCUCGUUGCUGCCCCUUCCUCGUGACUCGGCACGCACGAUUCACUGGCAUCGUAACGGCCAGCUGGCAGUCGUUGGCGGCAACCAGCACAUCUACACUUUCCACGCCGCCGGUGGGUUCGUGGAGCAGCUCUCCAAGGUACACGUUAACAAAAGGAUAGAAACGACGGUGCUCUCCGAGAAUGGUGAGGAGGUGCUCAUCGCAGCGCAUGAAGCGUACGCGCCCCAGCUGCUGAACAUUGCCACAGAACAGUUGACCACGCUGGCAUUCCUCGACACCCGCGAUACUGCGGUGCAUCGGAACGGCCGACGCGACAACACGCGAGAUGAGUUCUUUGUCUCGAAGCUGGUUUGCAGGCCGAACGACCCCGUGAGUCGCGGCGUGGCGAUGGCGCGCGGCUCUUCGGUGACGCUCGCCUCGCUCUCCUCCGGCAGCGUCCUUAGCCACAUCACUGCCGACACGGCAGUCGUGGAUGUCACCUUUCUCUCCUCGACAGAGCUGGCCAUCGCGACCAACAACAAGGUUCUACUCUACGACGUACGCAAGCUCAGUCGUUUCACCCGCGAGUUGACGGACAACGCGGCACUCGACAUUACAACUUGCGGCUUCUCAGCUUCUCGUUCAUCAGGUGCGUGUGAACGCGCCAUGGCGAUUGGCUCUGCAAGUGGUGUGGUGAGUGUCUACGACAGCGCUACGCUGCGCUCGGCAGCGGCGGCGGCGGCCUCGGUGGCGGCAGGAUCACGGCCGAAACUGCUCCGCGAGCUGAAGCAGCUCGUGACCCCAAUCUCAUGCCUAUGCUUCGGCGAAGACAGCCAGGGCGACUCGGUGCUGGCCUUUGCGACACGCGGGCAGAAGGGCGGCUUCCGUCUCGCACGGAUGCCGGAAUUGAACGUGGUGCCGUCCUUUCCAGCCGUCUCGACACGGCACGGCUUCGUGCAGAGCAUGACCAUCGCACCAACAGUGCCGAUCCUCUCUGUCGGUGAACGUCAGAAAGUAACGAAUUACGCGCUUUAGCUCAGAGUGGAAGCACAAGAGGCGCGCCGGUCACCCGAAAGAGGAAGGCAGAUCUCUGUUUGAUUGCGAUGCUAUCGAUGAGACCCGACAGGUGAGAAGUGCACGGAAGCACCGCGACCGCGGGUGAGUAGAGAACGCGCAUGUGGCCAUGCAGAGAGCUCUCUUUUUCCCCCUUUCUCUUUUUGGCUGCACGCCGCGCUUUCAAAGUUCAUGGGUGACUCUCAUCCUCCAUCGCCCUCUGUGGCCGUCAUAAAACGGCUGGCCGCAACGAAAAAAAAAACAACAACAACCAAAAAAAAAAAAAAAGAGUAUCCUUCAUCUCUCGGCAGCGCCCCUGUUUCACGAUGUUUACACACGUGACAAGCGGGUGUCUUUUGCUGUUGCUGUUCGUGUUUGAGGUAAAGAAGAAGUCUCACGGCGUCGUCUGCACGGGAUGCAUGAUGGGGUAGGUUUGAGCUGUCCAGUACGUUUGGCACACGAUGAAAAAAAAAGACGGGAUAGUGCUAUGCAGCGGUACCGCUCCCCCUCUUUCCUAAAAGCUUCUGUUUUUCUUCUCGUGUAAUUGAUCCUAAACCGCUAGAGAAAGAAAAGGGCGCCCCAAUAUGUCCGCACGCAAUGCGAAACGGCUUCUGCGGGCAUGAUUCGGUCCCUGGGUUUGAUGAGGUGAGUAGGUGCGUGUGCAGCGUGCAUGACUGUCUUGAUGUCCGCGUGCCACGCAACGGAAGACGACGCUGCUGCUGACACAUGGAUGAGGCACCAAGUCGGUCACUCAUACGUUUCACCGUGCAUGUGGGCACCUUCUGUCAACGAGAACGAAGCAGCGACGAGUAGCCCAAAGCAGCUGCAUACACUCACACAAAGACCAUGCGCGACGCAGCAUGCGAGCAUUCUUAUCAUCCGCUCGUUCUCCUUGUCCGCUUUUCUUUUGUUCAUGAUGCGCACAACCCACCCACCAAUGUUGUUGCAAG